rnacentral:lncRNA from 1 species
ACCCAUAGACUUAACCGCAUUCAGCUGUCCUUUCAUUGGCAACCACCCUCAUUGGCAAAUCUCCUGCAGACCAGUCACUGUUGCCCUAUCCUACCGACCUUCACUUCUACCGAUCCUGGGUAAGUGUCCAAAAACGGUGUCAACAGGUAUGUUCCAUAAAAACCAUGCACCUAUCUUGCAUCAAGAUUAGCACUACCUCCAAAC